rnacentral:lncRNA from 1 species
UAAUAAAUUUUUUUUAUUAAAUUGAAAGGUGAAAUAAAUUAUAAUGCAAAUCCAAUUACUAGUUCCCAAGCAUUUAAUACAGAUUUAAUACAGGCGAUGAGAAUUUAUUUUUGGUGGCUGAUUUAAUAGAAGCAAAUUACAGAAUAUGGAAGACUGAGCUUAUUACCAGAUUGUUUCCCCCUGAGAUUGCCACAGCCAUCUGUUGUAUUCCACUAUCUGAAUAUGUUGACGAUGAUGUGCCAGUUUGGAAAGGAGAACAUACAUGACUUUACACAGUCAGGAGUGGCUAUCAAAUGUUAACCUAUGCCUCUGAUUCUACAGACUCUACCCAAGGUAAUAUUGACUUUUACAAAAAAAUUUGGUCUCUCCAAAUCACUCCCAAAAAUAAGAUAGCAAAUUGGAGAAUAUUACACAAUUUUAUUCCUACAGCAUCUAUACUUUACAAUAGAAGACUUGCUAUUUCCCCUAUGUGUCCCCGCUGUAAUAUUGAAGCUGAGACUCCGCUACAUAUAAGCACGCGGUGUGGCCCUGCACAGGAAGUUUGGAGACAGGUUAAUCUUGAAUGGACUCUAUCUGGUAACCAUGAGGACUACUGGAGCUGGUUUACUCACCUAAUGAGAUCGAGUGACACCCACGCCUGUUUUACCAUCGCCAUUACAAUUUGGGGUUUGUGGUAUGCUCGUAAUAGACAUGUCAUGGAAGGGAAACAACAACAUGCACUAGAAAUUAGUGCCAAAGUUAUCAGCCUUGUUCGUGAACUCAAGGAGUUCAGAGCGAAAUUACCCGAGGCAAGGAUAACGAUGAAGCAAAGCUGGAGCCCCCCGACGGAUCCGAUGCUCAAGCUUAACUUUGAUACUGCUUUUCAUGCCCAAAGCCGACAGUCUUCUUCUGGUUUUGUUGUUAGGAACGCCCAAGGCCAGGUUUUGGGAAGUGGUAUGGUACGGAACAAUUUUGUCUCUGAUCCUUUCAUGGCUGAAAUGCUUGCUUGCCUCGGAUGGUCUGCGAUUUGCCACUGACAUGGGUUUCAAGAAUUUAGUGGUUGAAGGGGACUCAAGAUCUACUAUUGUGCGUAUUACUGAGAUGGGUAGGGAUAGAUCUGCAAUUGGGGUUUAUGUUGAAGAAAUUAAGCAAAGAGCUAGAAUGUUUGAUAAAAUAAUUUUCAGAUCUGUUGAUAGGAACGCGAAUCGGGUGGCCCAUAUUCUAGCUAAAGCAAGAUCUACUUUCAAUGAAGACCGAUUUUGGGUAGAGGAUGUACCUGAUAUGGCUGUGUUGGUGGUGAAGGCUGACUGCCCGAUCCCAGUUGCGCCGGAUUAAGGUUUUUCCGUCCUCAGCUAGGGCUCCUUCAUGCUUCGAUUUGGAGCUUCCUUACACUCUUUUGGAUUUAGUUUUGAAACCCUGGUUUUUGCCUUUUCGUUUCUUUAUCUCCUAUCCCAGGAAACCGAGGCUAAUGGGUAUCUUUAUUUAUUGCGCACCGUUUUGUUUAGCUUCUUUAAUAA